rnacentral:rRNA from 1 species
CCUGAGUAAAGUAGGCGCGACGGGUGAGUAACGCGUGGAUAAUCUGCCCGUUAUGAUCGGGAGUAACAGUUGGAAACGGCUGCUAAUACCGGAUACGACUCAAAAUGAACUUUUUGAGGAAAGAUGGCCUCUGCUUGCAUGCUAUCACGUAAGGAUGAGUCCGCGUCCCAUUAGCUUGUUGGCGGGUAACGGCCCACCAAGGCAACGAUGGGUAGCCGAUUUGAGAGGAUGAUCGGCCACACUGGAACUGAAACACGGUCCAGACUCCUACGGGAGGCAGCAGUGGGGAAUAUUGCGCAAUGGGCGAAAGCCUGACGCAGCGACGCCGCGUGAGGGAUGAAAGGUUUUCGGAUCGUAAACCUCUGUCAGAAGGGAAGAAACUACGUUGUGCUAAUCAGCAGCGUACUGACGGUACCUUCAAAGGAAGCACCGGCUAACUCCGUGCCAGCAGCAGC